UACGAAGGGGGCUAGCGUUGUUCGGAUUUACUGGGCGUAAAGCGCACGUAGGCGGAUCGAUCAGUCAGGGGUGAAAUCCCAGGGCUCAACCCUGGAACUGCCUUUGAUACUGUCGAUCUGGAGUAUGGAAGAGGUGAGUGGAAUUCCGAGUGUAGAGGUGAAAUUCGUAGAUAUUCGCAGGAACACCAGUGGCGAAGGCGGCUCACUGGUCCGGAACUGACGCUGAGGUGCGAAAGCGUGGGGAGCAAACAGG
rnacentral:rRNA from 1 species